GUUGAACGCUGGCGGCAGGCCUAACACAUGCAAGUCGAGCGGAUGAAGGGAGCUUGCUCCUGGAUUCAGCGGCGGACGGGUGAGUAAUGCCUAGGAAUCUGCCUGGUAGUGGGGGAUAACGUCCGGAAACGGGCGCUAAUACCGCAUACGUCCUGAGGGAGAAAGUGGGGGAUCUUCGGACCUCACGCUAUCAGAUGAGCCUAGGUCGGAUUAGCUAGUUGGUGGGGUAAAGGCCUACCAAGGCGACGAUCCGUAACUGGUCUGAGAGGAUGAUCAGUCACACUGGAACUGAGACACGGUCCAGACUCCUACGGGAGGCAGCAGUGGGGAAUAUUGGACAAUAGGCGAAAGCCUGAUCCAGCCAUGCCGCGUGUGUGAAGAAGGGCUUCGGAUUGUAAAGCACUUUAAGUUGGGAGGAAGGGCAGUAAGUUAAUACCGUGCUGUUUUGACGUUACCAACAGAAUAAGCACCGGCUAACUUCGUGC
rnacentral:rRNA from 1 species